UUUAGCGCCGGAUCCAAUUUUCGCGUGGGACCCACCUGUCAUCCGCCACGAAGAAACCACGCCCGCGAUCCGCCUCCUCUCGUCCCACACCGCGCCGCCCCGCCGCCCCAUCACCGCGCCCCCUCUUCUUUGUCGCGGUGCAUCGCCGCCGACCGCCGCUCCUGCUCGCCCUCAUCGCCGCUGUUCGUCGCCCAUCGCCUCCCUGUCUCCAUCACGUCGGCUCGCCCUCCACCGAUCCCCGCCGCCAGAAGCCCUCCCAUCGCUAGGUCCGAGCCGAUCUGCUCCUUGCCGCCUCCACUGCCAGCGCACACAUCCACGCCGCCGCCGUCAUCCACGCCGGAGCUCCGCCGAUCGGAUACUGGAAGAAAACCUGCGUCGACACCUCUCGACCCCGAUCCCUCGACAAAUCACACCGCCGCAUCGUCGAUCCGUCGCGUCUCCCGGUCUUCAUCACGUCGGAGCCCUCCUCCUCAGCCGCCGGGUCCGGCAGCAACUCCGCCGCCACUAGAACCACCGUUGUCGGACAAUGAUGGAUAG
rnacentral:lncRNA from 1 species